UCUGGAGUGGAAUGGUGUUCCUGUGUGUGGAUUGAAGCUUUCUGACAUUGUAUGGUGAUGCUCUGUGCAUUGUGACCCUCUUCACUGCAGUGUGAGUUGUGACAGUGCUUCACCUCCCAGGAGAGCACUGAGGAAAAGUGCUUCUCACUUUCUUGGCACCUGGAGGAGCUGAUUCCAAGCCCAAGGAAGCUGUUGAUGAAGCAGUGGAAUAGAAAGCAUUCUAGUAACUCUUUCCUGGCUCAUGGUGGCUUUGAAUUGAAGUAAAUAAUUCCCCAUUUAACAAUCUCAAAGAAAACACCUGUGAAAGGAAGAAAUAAUGAAGGUCUGUCUGUAAUUGCUUUCUGGAUAUGAGCU